rnacentral:rRNA from 1 species
AACGAACGCUGGCGGCAUGCCUAACACAUGCAAGUCGAACGAGACCUUCGGGUCUAGUGGCGCACGGGUGCGUAACGCGUGGGAACCUGCCCUUAGGUUCGGAAUAACUCCCCGAAAGGGGUGCUAAUACCGGAUAAUGUCUUCGGACCAAAGAUUUAUCGCCUUUGGAUGGGCCCGCGUUGGAUUAGCUAGUUGGUAGGGUAAAAGCCUACCAAGGCGACGAUCCAUAGCUGGUCUGAGGGGAUGAUCAGCCACACUGGGACUGAGACACGGCCCAGACUCCUACGGGAGGCAGCAGUGGGGAAUAUUGGACAAUGGGCGAAAGCCUGAUCCAGCAAUGCCGCGUGAGUGAUGAAGGCCUUAGGGUUGUAAAGCUCUUUUACCCGGGAUGAUAAUGACAGUACCGGGGGAAUAAGCUCCGGCUAACUCCGUG